AAUUAUUCCAGAGAUGCAUCUUCGGAAAUACCUGACAUGCAAAGUUGACAGAAAUUUCAAAAUCUUGCCCCAAACGUUUGUAGAUGCAUCUCAGGUUAAUCCACUAGGUGCUCAACUAUUAAAUUAUUAUGGAGAUACAUCUCUGGAAUUGUUUUUGUGUUAACAUGGGGUGGCACUCAUUUGUGUAUUAUAAAAAUGGUACAUGGUGCAUCCAAAGAUACAUCUCUGAAAUUUGAGGGGUAUUUUC
rnacentral:lncRNA from 1 species